AUAAUUUUCUGUGUUGGCAGUUUUUGCUCUCUUCCAGGAUAAACCCAGCACUCAGGGAGCUCCUGCCUGUUUGCACCCCCUGGCUGCCUCCAGCCCCAGAGAAUGAGCACCGAUUUAUCCUGGCAGGAGACCCGGACUGCAGCCUGGCAAUGGGGGAUGGAGCAGCUCUGGCCCCACAAAGGAGUUCUCAUUCUGCCAAAACCAACACAUCCAAAACCAGCCCAGGAGCUGUUUGAUCCCUCCCAGGGAUCAGGGAAACCUGUGGAGUGCAUGCACCAGCCUUCAGCUGGGUUUCCAUCCUGGUGCCAUUCCCAGCAAAGGGAAUUCCGUUCCCCACAUGAGGCUGGUGUGAUCCCACUGCCUCCUUUAUGUGGGAUUAUUCCUGUUAUCCAUCCCUCUCCCCAUAAAUCAUGCUAUCAAUGACCUAACAAAUUAGACAGCACAUGGGAU
rnacentral:lncRNA from 12 species